rnacentral:rRNA from 1 species
AUGUAUUGUUCUACAUUCAUGCGAAAAUUUAACUUAAGAUUGAAGUACUCUACCAGUGAGAAAGAAAAAGACAGUACUGACAGUACUUGGCAAACUAUUCAAUUUCACCAAGCAUUGGUUCUUGGAUUUUUCAAUCUUCCAAUGCCUAUGUUAAUAUGUUUUUGUAAAACCUCUAAUGCCUAUGUACUGUAUGUUAAUAGUAUUGUCAAUGGAUUUGCUGGGUCACUUCUCUUACAAUUGUGUGCUGCAACCAGGAGGCAAUUAGCUAAGAUCAGAGUCACUUUGAUUACAGUUACUUCAUGA